UCUCUCUCUCUCUCUCUCUCUCUCUCUCUCUCUCUCUCUCUCUCUCUUUCUCUCAGAGUCCCAGAUCCCGCUAGGGACUGGUGGCUAAACCUAGGUCUUCCCACACCAAUCAACAUAAUCAAGGCAAUAGCCAAGAAUAACCAAGACAAUGUCUCACAGGCAGCCUUGGUGUGGACGGUCUCUCAUUGAGACUCCCUUUCCGGGUGAUUGUAGAUUGUGACAAACUAACAAUUACGCUAAACGUCCCACUCAUGAAUCACUGUUACCAGUAAGCAUGGUUAGGUAUUCCGUCUGUCUGUCUGUGUCUGUCUGUCCCCUGUCUACUUCUCCAUCCAUUCACAUAUCCAUCCAGACACUCUCUGGUCCUUUCCUCACUCAGUGCCAUACCAUCGGUGAUAGUUGAUAUUAGCUGGAAGCCUGACAUGACUUGUAGUCACCAUGGGAACACAUCUGAAUGUGUCUCCAGGAAUAUUUCCAGAAAGACUUAACCAGUCCACUGUAAUAGUUCGGAUGAGAAAGUUCCCCUAGAGUCUUGGACAUUUGAAUACUUGGGCCCUAGUUGAUGGGACUGUUCGAGAGGUUUAGGAAAUGUGGCCUUCUAUUGGGGGAGUAUGGCACUGAAGGGGGACUUUGAAGCUUCAAAAGCCAUUCUCUGUGUCCAGGUCAACUUUCUCUGCUUCCUGUUUGUACUUCAUACUUGAGCUCUAAGCUUCCUGCUGCCACAGCUCCACUCAGACAUCACAGAAUCAGGAGGGUCUUGUCCUCACUUUGGGCCUGAGCUUGAACAAGCGAUGGGACCACGAGUGUAUGGCACAGCACAUGGUGUAUGCUGUAUCAGGGAUCAAAGCCAGAGCUUUGUGAAUUCCAGGACAUCACCCUGCCAAUUGAGCCAUAUCUCCAUCUCUCCUUAAUUUCUUAAACAUACCCUCCCUGUUGGAGGCAUGUUACUGGUUCAUUCCAGUCUGUCCCAGUGACUUCUCUCUAGACGAUAAUUGAUGCAUUUGCAAAAAUAUAAAUAGAGGGGGGAAUAUGUUUUAGUGACUGUGUGGUGAGGUGUGGGGUAGGGGGUGCCUUGGUGGGCCCAUGCUGAAGCAUCCUCUCCCUGAGGGAGACUACAAUGAUGGUAUAGUAUAGAAUAGAGUUUAUUCGGGGCAUGGGGAGGAGAGUAGUAGAAGGAGAGAGAGAGAGAGAGAGAGAGAGAGAGAGAGAGAGAGAGAGAGAGAAGAGGAGGAGGAGGAGGAGGAGGAGGAGGAGGAGGAGGAGGAGGAAGAAGAAGAAGAAGAAGAAGAAGAAGAAGAAGAAGAAGAAGAAGAAGAAGAAGAAGAAGAAGAGGGAGGAGGAGGAAGAGGAAGAGGAAGAGGAGGAAGAGGAGGAGGAAGAGGAAGAGGAGGAAGAGGAGGAGGAAGAGGAAAGAAGUAGAGACCAGCCAUGAGCAUGUAGAGGGGGGGGAAGGGAAUGGAGAGAGAGCAGGAGCGGGAAGGCAAGAGCAAGAGCAAGAGAGAGAGAGAGAGGAGGGGGCAAGCAGCCCUUUUUACAGUGAGUCAGGCAUACCUGGCUGUUGUCAGGUAACUGUGGUGGGACUUAGACAAAAUGCUAGCAAUAAUGAUGAUGUUCUAGAUACCAUGGACCCUGGACAAAAAGGGCUACACUGAGGAGCCAAACUUUGGAGAACAGGAAACCUCUGAAACAAUAUCUCCCAGCUGCAUAUGUAAGCCAAGGCUGUCAUCGUGCCUCAGCUGACCACGCUUCCUCCAGCAGCUGUCCGUGUCAGAGAACAUUUGGGCCUUGCUGACCACAUCUCAGCCUUGUACUAUUUACUCAGUAAGACCCUCUUGGGAUAUCCCGCCCACCUCUCCUUUCCAAAGCUGUCCUGUCCCAGAAUGAGAAAACUUGUUCAGUAUGGUAGUCUCUCUCUCUCUCUCUCUCUCUCUCUCUCUCUCUCUCUCUCUCCUGUUCUCACUCUGCCACACUUCUCAUCCCUCUGAAUGUAUUCUUCUCUCCUCCAGACCAAGGUUUGAAGGGAGACACCACCCAUCACUCAGACAGGAGGAAGGGGUUCCAAAGGGGAGCGAGGUCAGCUGUGUUCGGCGUUUGAGCCGAGUGAGGCUUCCUAUUUCCAGAUUCCUCCUGAGGGCUCCUCAUGUGAUGCUGGCUGGAGAGUCAGCACCGGUCUGUUCCAAGUUCUUUCACUAAACUGUAGCACAGUUCCUGAUUGAAAAACCACAUGUUACGUGGCAUGUCUUUCUCCAGUUUCCACAGAACCCAGCCAUGAGCCACCAACAGUGUGGGAAAAACAGUCAAGACGUCUCCAUUUGGUUUGUGCUUGAGAUGGAUCCUGAGGCCUUGAGUUGACCAGGCUGACACUCUACCAUGGAGACACAACGCAGCCCCUUAAGGAAGGGGCCUCUGAAGAGAGUUCUCCACAGAACUUCCCUGGGGAGCCCAGGUCCCUUUCUCCCCAACUGUCCCUCUUCAUCCAAAGUCACUUGGCUUAAUCCUGUUUUUGGUUGUUUACAGCAUAGUCUGAUAGAAGGAACAUGUUCAGGGUGGACCAGAGAUAACCAGAACUCCAAAGCCAUCUGAGGCUAGCUCUUAAGUAAGACCUUUGGGACAUUUGGCUGGAUGUCACUUCCCCCGUGACAUCUUGUUGCUGUAUUUUCUCCAUUCUCCUUUUAGACCUCCUUUGAGUGUCCACACUGGCUAAUACAGCAGUGUUCUUACUGUCCGUGAUUAUCAUGGGCAUGAUUAUUUUCCAUUUUUAGGAGAGUAAAAAAACGCCACAAAAGAUCACCUCAGACACGGAUUUGUCCAUCCAAACUCUAAGAGGUGGACUGACUGAAGUCAAAGCUGAUACAUGGGUUUAUAUGUUUUAGAAAAAAAAUCACAGUCACCGACACUUGGACAGGUGAGCUAAAAGUGUCCUGGCAGGUGUGGGGAAGUGACCGCAGGUCCUCUGCUGCAGCCUGGGGGAUCCCCAGCCCACAGGCUCCUCCAGGUUCAGAUGCUGGGGACAUCACUGCCUCUCAGCCCUGUCUCUGUUUCUCUGGUCCCUGCUGAAGAAUACCCCAGUGUCUCGUCCACCACACUGGCUGGAAUGGAACUUGGACUCUUAUCUCCUUCCAGCCACAGUUUAGGGACCCUUGACACACGCCCCUAAGAAGUAGUUUGGGGGAAAUUUAUAAGGGUCUGCCCACCAUCUGGACUACCUCUGGGUCUCAGAAGUUCUCUGGCCAUGUCAGUAGAAGCCAGGGUGGGAGGACUUCUUAGUACAUCUCCCAGCUAUGACCCCCGUCAUCCUUCAGCAUGGUUCUUGGGCCCCACCAUGAGCAUGCAAUGAACGCCUUCCUCCAGGACCCCAAAGCUUUCCAAGGCUUCUGUUGUCUGCUUAAGCAGGCCCUUGAAUACCUGGGAACACAGAGCAGGGCAUGGUUAAAUAUAGAAGAAAGCCAUCCCCCCAAAAUUCUAGUCCUAUUAUCUAACAUUUCUUUAGACCAUUUUUGGAAAACAACUCUCCACCACCCCUCCUGUUCUCAGCUCAACAAGCCCUUAGAGAUCUGACCCAGCUGUUCUUUCCCUGUACUGAAAUGGGUCCUGCCUUCCCCACAUUUGCCAAGUUUGCCAAGAACAGGGUGAGUCUCACCACCACCAUCCAGUGGUACCUGGGGACGUCUCAGGUAUUCAUACAUAAGUCACCUCUGGAGGAGGUCAAAUGGCGAGCUGUAGACUGGUCUUUCUUUUUCUUCCCGAGCUCCAUGCAGGGCUGGUCACGCCAGUCACCCCAGGGAGUGUGAGUCCCUGGGAGCACUGCAUAGUAUGGAUGGGUCUCCUUCAGGGGUUGUUUGAGAACACAGGGUUCUUUCCAAGGUUGUCAGGAGGGGUGCUCUGAGCAUGACUGAUUUCAGCAGUCUUCAGGCUUCCCAGAAGUCUUGAGUCUCUAGACUUAGGGGUGAUUUUGUGUUCAUGUUUGUUGGCACAACAGGAGUUGGAAGCGUUCUGAGACUAUGAAGGGUGCUGAGUGUGUGCUCUGACCUGGAGCACUGACAUCAUCAAUAGCCCCUCGACCAGAAAGCCAAAGGCAAAACCAGGUGACUUACAGAAUGCUUUCAACUUCCACGGCACGGAAACCUCUACCGGGGCUGAAUGUGAUCUACUGACGCAGAGUCAGAAGGGACACCCAGGCACCACACCGUUACCGAGAAAGUCACCAUUUAGAUUUACUAUGUGGGUUUCUGAAGGAACACGGUUGCACAUCUACUCGCCUCGGGUAGGGCACCAGUGGGAUGAACUCCACACGAGUCUAACUCCGUGGGCCGAUGAGUUUAUUGAGCUUACAAACAAGGGGCUAGGAUGAGGGUCAUUUACAGCUGAUGAGACUUCCAAAUAACCACAUGAGUGACAAAUGCUACCCCAGCAUGGAUGUAAACUUCCCAGAGCUACCUAGUUGGAGAUGUCCCGUCUUCCCCUUCCAGCCAGCCUUCCAUCCCUUUUUAUCCUAGCUUCUCCCAAGACCAUGCUUUGCUAAGGCACAAUUACAUAUAACCAGGAGGCAGCUGCAGGAGGGAGAGAUUGGCUGGAGUCUAAGGUAAGAGCUUAAGGACCUCCCUAGCCUUCCUUCUACAAGGAGCAUCAAGAAGUCUGACCUUGCAAAGGCUUUGACGACGACUACCCCAAGCUCUCCUUCUAGGAGAGCGUGUCAACAGGCCUGAUCUUACUGAUGGCCUCUUUCCAAUAUUCGUAGGCAUUUUGUUUGAGACUGUGAUUUCCCUCAUGCUCAAAGGGUAGCAUUCCACACAGGAUUUAACACCUGAGUAAUUGAUCACGAAAUAAUGGAAGAGUGCUAAGCUCAGAGGAAUUAUGGUCUUUAUUGACUACUCAUUUAAUUAUAAAUGUAGUUGGUUUCAUUUCAAUAAUGACCAUGUUUGACAGAUGCCUCUCUAAAUGGAUGGAAGGAGUCUGUCUGGCCCGCCACAGUGCAAGCCAUUUCUCUCUGCAAUAAGGACAAACCGCCUUCCCGUGUGUUUGAAACCAGCCAGAACCCAGAGGUGCUGGGACAACAUUGUCCUAGGAAGCUCAGCGAGAAACAAUAGGAACAGGGCUGCACUGUGGUCUGAAAGGAUCAGUCUGGUUUGCCCAGGACAUCAAAGCUAGGCUCAUCAAUGCCAGAGGUGGAGUGGGGGUCGGGCAACAAGCUUGUCAUUUCACUGAGAACAUACAUAUCACUUACCCAAGUCAUAAGAGAACAGGGGACUGAAGAAAUUGAACUGCCAGUCAAGAAUUGUCCCCUAGACGGACAUGUGCAAAACAGCUCUGGGGAGCCUAGCUUGUGACUCACAGGCAGUCUCCCCCGCCCCCGACACUGCAGCUGUGGGCAGCAUGGCCACCUUCUGAUUCACGUUUUCCAAGGUUACCCAGAAAAAUGGAAACCAUCUGGAUGCACCAGCUCCCACUCAGAUGGACGCCCACACUGUUCUCAGACUGGCAUAGAAGCUUCCAUAGUCCCUGCUUGCCCAGAGCAGUUUCCUCAGCUGUAACGUCUGUCUGUCUCCAUCAUCAUCAAACUCCAGGCCCACUGACCCAGAAGGCAUCCGCACAGGGUGCCAAAUGAACAUGGAGCUGCCUGCCUACAGCCAGGGUCUUUUAAAGUCCCCUUACUUGCUGUUCUCCUGGGUAACUGUCCUCAUACCAACUACAGGACAGCCCGUGGUGCUCCUUCAAUGAACCAUUUCUUGUCUGACUUGGGCAAUGACACUAGGGUUCCUCUCUAAUUUGGGGUUUUGGAUAUAAUGCAAAAAAGGAGGGAUGUCCGGAAGGAAAGGGUGUCCUGGGAGAGUCCUCAGAAGUUCCCAGCAUAUGCUGUCUUGGGAACACCACUCUAGCCGUGUGCAGCUGGCCACUGACAGUCCGACUCCCUGUGUGUGUGUGCGCACACGCAUGCUGAUUUAUGAAGAAUUUUCCCGGAAGAUAAGCCCCACCUGCGUUUUAGAUCUAAGAGUACCCAGUACAAUGUGGAGCCUGGUAAAGCGUGCUCUCCUUGCUAGCUGCAGGGCCAGACUCCCUGGCUCUAUUCCUACUCCCACAUUGGCUGCCUGGCCCAGUUUUCUGGGGACAGUAACGGUUCAUCUAGAGACUGCUGGAAGCCUGAAGGAGACACACCAGCUUUGAGGCUCCCGGAGAACACUCAGACAGACUUGGGGGUGGGAGAACGGCAGAGAAAGUACCAGCUCGAAAGUCACUACUGUAGGGACCUAGAGCGUCCCCUGCCCUCUCUGGUAGGGGGUGGCUUAAGUGUCCCUUUUAACAGCCACCCAGGUCCAUUUGUAUUGAAUGAGUCACCCCUCUAAGGCCACCAUGUGAAGCUUACAUGGUUGUAAGAAUCCUCUCAUUCUCCUGUUCAUGCAGACAGUUGCCCAUCCCUGCUGUGGGCUUCACCCCUCUCCCAGCACCUUCACAAGCUUUGGGAGGUUUGGACCCUGUUUGUAGUCAUGUGGAGAUGCUGGUCUGAAGGGGGGGUCUUGUCUCUAGAGGACCGCAGAGACCUGUGGGAUGGAUGGUGGUGGAUCUGGUGCAGAAGUGGGCCUGAGAGGUCCUUUGCCUGUGUCACCUGCGUGUUAGCAGAGGAUAUGGAGAAUGGGUAACCAGUAUGGGGGAGGGGGGAAUGGGGAGAGGACAGCCUGGCUGCAGUUGGAAGAAUGAGAGGAAGUUGGGUAGGGGAGCACACAAGAACAGGGAUGACAACCGAGGCUCUGUGAUGCUUCAGAAGGCCCUACCCUUCCCAGGAAGGUGGCUUGUGCCACACUGCAGAGAGUAUCAGUUAGGAAACAGAAUACCUUAAGGAUUGUGUGUUCAGGAGGCUUGGAGGCAUGGGGGAGGGGCCGGAAGUCGUCAGAGGCCAGCAUUCCCUUCCUUUCUGGAAGCGUGACUGGAGGGGAGGAAUAAGGAUAGCUAUAGUGUGCUGGGUGUGCAAGGGUUGGAGUUUGUCUGGCUUUGGUGUGGGCCUGGGGCGUUUCAGUAGUGUGGUAGGGAAUCCACUGCUGAGACGGCAGAAACGCCCCUGGCAAAGUGCCUCGCGCUUCAGAAAGCGGCUGCUUCCUGGCCAGACAAGGAACCAGAACCAGACAGUCUUUUCACGAGGUGACCCUUCGCAAGGAAGGAGGCACAGGCCUCUGAGAUUUGAAGUCACCUCCCCCACUUAAAGAUACUUGAAACAGCUGCCAGAUGGGCCACCUCCCCACGUUUCAAGGCUGCCAUCUGGUGGAAGUCUGGGGAAUAGCAACUAUCUUAAACAAGACCCUUUCUACUCCAGGGGCUCCAGCAACUGUUGACAGGUAAGGUGGACAACAUAUACCCCUAAAGAUCAUUUUGCCUGGGAGAAAGAGCAUCUCUGGGCCUAGUUGAUUGACUGGCAAGCAGAGAUGGUGAUUGAUCUACAAAGUGUCACUUGCCUCCCUCCAAGUAAGCAAUGCACAAGAUACACGGUACUCAUGGGUUCAAAUCUUGCCCAGCCUUUGAAGCUAACUCCCAUGAACAUGACUUUGUUCUUGUGUGUAGGGAAUGAUGGCCACAGAGAUCAGUGUCAUCACGUAGCAUAUGCCUAGUGCCCCUGGUUAUUCCCUCUCCAGCUAUAUUGUUCUCGUGACCCAUCAGCUCCGGAGACCCACUGUUUAGAAGACCAAAUAAUGUCUCCUCCACUGAAGGGUCUGGAGUGGGACAGAUUAGCCUGGACUGGUCAGAGUCCUGAUGAGAAGGACAUGGUGAUGCACUUUGGGAGUGGCAAACACAGUGAGGAAACAGACCCUCCUCUGUAGAGCCUCCAAAAGAAUUAACCUGCUGAAUGGCUUCCGUUCCAGGAGGCUGAGUGUGGACUUUCAGCCUCCAGAACAAGAGAUAGAACCAGUGUGGCUUUAGAACCCCAUUUCCCCGGCUAUAGCAUCUGUUGCAACUUGACUUGGGAAAAUUAAUGCCAAGAUCAAGGUUCAGAGGUCAAAGCUCAACAGAUGUCUAGACACUGAAACUCACCGGCGCCACAAUGUGCAAGUAAAUGACCUGAAAACUAGCGGGGUCUCACCCUUGUGUCCCUCGGGUUGGUUCUAGGUCAUUUUUAUUUAUUUCUUAAGGCUGGUGAGAUGGCGCCGGUGCCGCGGGGAAAGCACUUGCCACUCAAGCCUAAGGUCCUGAGUUUGAUCCCCUUGAACUACAACAACAACAACAACAGCAAAUAUGUGUGGACAAAAGUGGAAGGAAUAACCAACUCCACAAACUGUCUUCUGGAUUCCACAUACGUGCUGUGGCAAGCGCAUCCCCCACGUCAUAAGCGCACACACACAAUAAUAAUUCUCAUUUGUCAGUAUCUAAAAAUCACAUUUUCACACCAUUUUUUUCCUACCUGAAACCCACGUCUCCCCAUGGUGAUAUCUGGACUUGGCAACCAGAACCUUCCAAACCUACUUCCCUCCCACCAGACUUUGAAGAUUGUGUUGUCACUAUGGCACAGGAGCGUAGUUUAAAGAGGUCGCACUGUAGUGGAAGACAUGAAUGACAGCCAGUUAUUUCUCCACUCAAACCUUCCACUUCUAAAUAAUAUGUUUGCCCUGGGGUGCUCAUCUACUGAGUGUCUAGAAUGAAAAACAAUGGAGAGUUAACUCACUGGACCCCCAGGCCAAGCCCCCUCGCCUCUGGACCUCUCGACCUGACUAAACCGUAGGAUUCAGGCUUCAGAAGGUCUUCCAGGAGUGUUACAGAGGGGAACUGAAGACACCUCAGGGUCAGACCUGGUGCUCAACGUCACAGCCUUGGAUACUGUUGGGGGAGAUAUCAGGAUUGGAGUGUCAGGUUCCCGAGUCGGAGACCCUUGUCCCCAGGGUCACGUCACAUCUCUCUGAAUAAAGAAUGAAUUAGAA